UGCCAGCAGCCGCGGUAAUACGGAGGAUGCAAGCGUUAUCCGGAUUUAUUGGGUUUAAAGGGUCCGCAGGCGGACUAUUAAGUCAGUGGUGAAAGCCUGCAGCUUAACUGUAGAAUUGCCAUUGAAACUGAUAGUCUUGAGUGUGGUUGAAGUGGGCGGAAUAUGACAUGUAGCGGUGAAAUGCAUAGAGAUGUCAUAGAACACCGAUUGCGAAGGCAGCUCACUAAACCAUUACUGACGCUGAGGGACGAAAGCGUGGGGAGCGAACAGGAUUAGAUA
rnacentral:rRNA from 1 species